GUGUGGAAGAUGGGAGGAGAAA
rnacentral:miRNA from 1 species